ACUCAUCGUUAGAUUGAAGAAGCUUGCUUCUGAUUGAUAACAUUUGAGUGAGUGGCGGACGGGUGAGUAACACGUGGGUAACCUGCCCUAAAGUGGGGGAUAACAUUUGGAAACAGAUGCUAAUACCGCAUAAAACCUAGCACCGCAUGGUGCAAGGUUGAAAGAUGGUUUCGGCUAUCACUUUAGGAUGGACCCGCGGUGCAUUAGUUAGUUGGUGAGGUAAAGGCUCACCAAGACCGUGAUGCAUAGCCGACCUGAGAGGGUAAUCGGCCACACUGGGACUGAGACACGGCCCAGACUCCUACGGGAGGCAGCAGUAGGGAAUCUUCCACAAUGGACGAAAGUCUGAUGGAGCAACGCCGCGUGAGUGAAGAAGGUUUUCGGAUCGUAAAACUCUGUUGUUGGAGAAGAACGUAUUUGAUAGUAACUGAUCAGGUAGUGACGGUAUCCAACCAGAAAGCCACGGCUAACUACGUGCCAGCAGCCGCGGUAAUACGUAGGUGGCAAGCGUUGUCCGGAUUUAUUGGGCGUAAAGCGAGCGCAGGCGGUUUCUUAAGUCUGAUGUGAAAGCCUUCGGCUCAACCGAAGAAGUGCAUCGGAAACUGGGAAACUUGAGUGCAGAAGAGGACAGUGGAACUCCAUGUGUAGCGGUGAAAUGCGUAGAUAUAUGGAAGAACACCAGUGGCGAAGGCGGCUGUCUGGUCUGUAACUGACGCUGAGGCUCGAAAGCAUGGGUAGCAAACAGGAUUAGAUACCCUGGUAGUCCAUGCCGUAAACGAUGAGUGCUAGGUGUUGGAGGGUUUCCGCCCUUCAGUGCCGCAGCUAACGCAUUAAGCACUCCGCCUGGGGAGUACGACCGCAAGGUUGAAACUCAAGGAAUUGACGGGGGCCCGCACAAGCGGUGGAGCAUGUGGUUUAAUUCGAAGCAACGCGAAGAACCUUACCAGGUCUUGACAUCCUUUG
rnacentral:rRNA from 1 species